rnacentral:lncRNA from 1 species
CCCUGUCCCGCCUCCUUCCCCUCCAGUGCCUGCCGGUUUCCACCCAGAGUUCGCUCCUCCGCUCGGACCCCAACGCUACCAGCCACUGCAGGGCUUCUCAACCCGGGCCACUGUGCCCAGGGAACAUUCUCAGUUGUCUCAACCGGGAGUGCCACUGGCGCGAGAGGGAGGUGGAGGCUAGAGAUGCUGGUGAGUGUUCCCCGGGCACAGCGCGGCCCCACGCGUCCUCGCACCCAAGGCGGGAAACUCGGCCCGCGGGAGCUGCCGGCCCUCCCGGCUCCCUGAGCGGUGAGAGGUGGCUCCAGUCGCCAUUCCUCCGCCCCUUAGAAACCAACAGCUUACGGGGAACACGGGUUCGGGGCUAGAGGAGCCGCACGCGGACCCGCCCCCGAUCCAGGCCCGGACCCCGACCUGUACCCGGACCCCGACCGGACUCCUACCCGACCUGGACCCGACCCAACCAGACCUGGAGCCCA